GGACGAAUCGGCGCGGAGCUCGGGGAAGGCUCGUUGGCUUGCUGGCAGCCACCUCUUUCUUUUACUUGGCCGGGGCUGCGGCGACGCUGGGUUCGAACAGCGGCGGGUUCAUACUUGUCAGCAGAUUAGGAGGAGACUCUGGGUUCGUACGCCGACUGAGGCUUCUCCUUGAUGGGCUCCGGGCCCCGAAGUCUGGGGGCAGUACGGGGCCGGGGACAUGCAGGAAAGGGCCCUGGUAAGUGGACACUGUUCUGGUGGUAGCCGGCUUGGUCUAGGGGCGAUUGGCAUAGGGCGGGGUUGGGGGGGGGGGUGGCGAAUCAAAAUUUGAGACUUUAAGAUGUUGGGUUGGGAAAGAUUCGUGUUUUACUUUAAUAAACCUGAAAGAACUGUCGUUUUUCACUGCCUAUAGGACCACUACAAAGCCGCAAAGAAAAAUUAGACUUGUUUCAUUUUAUAACAACAACAACUGCUACUACUGCUACUAGUUAGAUACCGUUUGCUCAUUUAUAACAAUCUCAGUUGGUAGGAUGAAGCUUAAACACUUGGCAUUCAUCGUCUUUUUCAGUCCUCUCGCCAGUCUUACAGACUUGGACCUUCAGUUGUGAUGCUUAAUCAGAAUUUUUUUUGAGAUAGGGUCUCUCUUGGUUGCCCAGACUGGAGUGCAAGUGGCACGUUCAUAGCUCACUGCAGCUUUAAACUCCUGAACUCAAACGAUCCUCCCGCCUCUGCCUCCUGAGUAGCUGAGAACACAGGUGCAAGACACCACGCCCAGCUAAUUAUUUUUUGUAGAGACGGGGUUUUGUCAUGUUGCCCGGGCUGGUCUCGAACUCCUGGGUUCAAGCGAUCUUCCUGCCUCGCCCUCCCAAAGUGCUUUACAUGACUGAGCCUCCGCGCCCAGCCAGACUUGUUUCUCAAGUGACUUCUUCUGGCCAUUUUCACAACUCAUUCCAAAGAUGUGCAGCAUAUUCUCAAAGCAUUUCCAAAUAAGCUCCAAGAAAUGUUUUUGGUAAUGGAAGCAGAAAACAAGCCUGUAGCUCAUGACUACUUUGGAGGAAGAACAUUUGGAUUUGUAAAUUUAGUGUGUUAAAAAAAUCACUUAUCACAGAUGUUUGGAAUCUUCCCACUGAUUUCUGCAUGGCUGCUUAUUUUUCUUCCCUUAAGUCUCAGUUCAUGUCACAGAGGGCUUCCCUGACCUCUCACACCUCACCACCAUCAACCUGUUUUCUCCAUAGCACCUAUCACAGUCUGAAUUGUCUUAUUAUGGCCUUACCUAUCCCUAACACCCAUUUAAAAAUGUAAGCAUGAAAGAAGGAACGUUGUCUAUCUUGUUCAUUGCUGAAUCCCCAGUGCCUAGAAUAGUACCAAUAAAUACUUGUUAAAUGAGCAAA
ensembl:lncRNA novel transcript